CUGCAGACUCGACCUCCCAGGC
rnacentral:miRNA from 1 species